ensembl:lncRNA
AUAUAUUACUAGAUAUUUGCUGUUCACUAGUUAUAUUCCUAAUGUUUAUUCCUUAAAAUGAAUAAAAGAAUCGUUAAAGAAUCGGAACGCCCUGUAUUCUCUUUCCUAGCCAGGACCAAAGAAUGGAAGUGUACUGAGGCUACCGUGUCUCAGCAUCAAGUGUUGCCCUGGAAGAGGUAAUGUCAUGCCCCUCAGCAGCGGUUCAGGCAGGUGGAAGUGGCUGGCCGCCUGCGCGCCUGUUGUAACCGUAGAAACCAAAGAUUAACGGUCACGGAAUAGUCCAGCUUUGUCUUUGUUGAA